rnacentral:rRNA from 1 species
AGCAGUAGCCGCGGUAAUACGUAGGGUGCGAGCGUUAACCGGAAUUACUGGGCGUAAAGCGUGCGCAAGCGGUUUUGUAAGACAGGCGUGAAAUCCCCGGGCUCAACCUGGGAAUGGCGCUCGUGACUGCAAAGCUAGAGUGCGGCAGAGGGGGAUGGAAUUCCGCGUGUAGCAGUGAAAUGCGUAGAUAUGCGGAGGAACACCGAUGGCGAAGGCAAUCCCCUGGGCCUGCACUGACGCUCAUGCACGAAAGCGUGGGGAGCAAACAGGAUUAGAUACCCCGUAGUCCCUGUCUCUUAUACA